rnacentral:rRNA from 1 species
GAUGAACGCUAGCGACAGGCUUAAUACAUGCAAGUCGAGGGGCAGCACAGGUAGCAAUACUGGGUGGCGACCGGCAAACGGGUGCGGAACACGUACACAACUUACCUUAGAGUGGGGGAUAGCCCAGGGAAACUUGGAUUAAUACCCCAUAAAACAGGGGGCCCGCAUGGGCAUAUUGUUAAAGAUUUAUGGCUUUAAGAUGGGUGUGCGUAUGCGUAGGUAGUUGGUAGGGUAAAGGCCUACCAAGCCGAAGAUCAUUAACUGGUGUGAGAGAAGGACCAGUCACACGGGCACUGAGACACGGGCCCGACUCCUACGGGAGGCAGCAGUAAGGAAUAUUGGUCAAUGGACGGAAGUCUUAACCAGCCAUGCCGCGUGAAGGAUGAAGGUCCUCUGGAUUGUAAACUUCUUUUAUAGGGGGCGAAAAAGGGCCAUUCUUGGUCAACUGACGGUACCCUAUGAAUAAGCACCGGCUAACUCCGUGCCAGCCGCCGCCGUAACAC